GAUGAACGCUAGCGGCAGGCCUAACACAUGCAAGUCGAGGGGUAGAGGAAGCUUGCUUCCUUGAGACCGGCGCACGGGUGCGUAACGCGUAUGCAAUCUACCUUUUACAGAGGGAUAGCCCAGAGAAAUUCGGAUUAAUACCUCAUAGUAUAUAUCAUUCGCCUGUUUGAUAUAUUAAAGUUCCAACGGUAAAAGAUGAGCAUGCGUCCCAUUAGUUAGUUGGUAAGGUAACGGCUUACCAGGACGAUGAUGGGUAGGGGUCCUGAGAGGGGGGUCCCCCACGAGGGUACUGGGACACGGACCAGACUCCUACGGGAGGCAGCAGUGAGGAAGAUUGGUCAAUGGACGCAAGUCUGAACCAGCCAUGCCGCGUGCAGGAAGACGGUCCUAUGGAUUGUAAACUGCUUUUGUACGGGAGGAAACACUCCUACGUGUAGGAGCCUGACGGUACCGUAAGAAUAAGGAUCGGCUAACUCCGUGCCAGCCGCCGCCGUAACAC
rnacentral:rRNA from 1 species